UACGGGGGGGGCAAGCGUUGUUCGGAAUUACUGGGCGUAAAGGGCUCGUAGGCGGCCAACUAAGUCGGAUGUGAAAUCCCCAGGCUUAACCUGGGAACUGCAUCCGAUACUGGAUGGCUUGAAUCCGGGAGAGGGAUGCGGAAUUCCAGGUGUAGCGGUGAAAUGUGUAGAUAUCUGGAGGAACACCGGUGGCGAAGGCGGCAUCCUGGACCGGCAUUGACGCUGAGGAGCGAAAGCCAGGGGAGCAAACGGG
rnacentral:rRNA from 1 species